rnacentral:rRNA from 1 species
GAUGAACGCUGGCGGCGUGCCUAAUACAUGCAAGUCGAGCGAACAGACGAGGAGCUUGCUCCUCUGACGUUAGCGGCGGACGGGUGAGUAACACGUGGAUCACCUACCUAUAAGACUGGGAUAACUUCGGGAAACCGGCGCUAAUACCGGAUAAUAUAUUGAACCGCAUGGUUCAAUAGUGAAAGACGGUUUUGCUGUCACUUAUAGAUGGAUCCGCGCCGCAUUAGCUAGUUGGUAAGGUAACGGCUUACCAAGGCAACGAUGCGUAGCCGACCUGAGAGGGUGAUCGGCCACACUGGAACUGAGACACGGUCCAGACUCCUACGGGAGGCAGCAGUAGGGAAUCUGCCGCAAUGGGCGAAAGCUUGACGGAGCAACGCCGCGUGAGUGAUGAAGGUCUUCGGAUCGUAAAACUCUGUUAUUAGGGAAGAACAAAUGUGUAAGUAACUAUGCACGUCUUGACGGUACCUAAUCAGAAAGCCACGGCUAACUACGUG